CCUUGGCCUCUAACUAGGGUAGCCAACGAGAGUUGGAGGCGCUUCUUAGAGGGACCAGCUGGGAUUUACCAGCGGGAAGUUCGAGGCGAUAACAGGUCUGUGAUGCCCUUAGAUGUUCUGGGCCGCACGCGCGCUACACUGGCAGAGGCAGCGAGUUGAAUCUGCGCCGAAGGGCGUGGGUAAUCUUGUGAAACUCUGCCGUGAUGGGGAUAGAUCAUUGUAAUUAUUGGUCUUGAACGAGGAAUUCCUAGUAAGCGCAAGUCAUCAAGUUGCGUUGAUUAUGUCCCUGCCCUUUGUACACACCGCCCGUCGCUACUACCGAUUGAAUGGGUAGAUGAGGGCGUUGGACUCUGCGAUGAGCGGGGGAAGACGGACGAAUCUGUCUAUUUAGAGGAAGUAAAAGUCG
rnacentral:rRNA from 1 species